GGGGGGGGGGCGUCUCGGCAGGCAGGUGGCGAUGGGGCGAGGGAGAGGGCCCCUGGAAAGCAGCCUAUGCUUAUUGACUGCGGUUCGCCUCUGAUCCUGGAGCUGGCAAGGGAGCCCCCGGCGGGUAAGUUUGGAUUUUGCGCCCGUGUGUGUGGGUGCGCUGGGCAGGCCGGUAAUUCGAGGUGGCGGCACUCCUGCUCAGGGGCACCUGGCGAACUCAGCAGGCACAGGCGGUAAGGGUCCCAGACGUGUCCUGGCCGCUAGCUAUCAAGGGGGCGGGGGGCGGUGGUGACCCCCUUUGGUGAGACCGUUGGUGGUGAGGAGCUCCCCAGAAGAAGGUGUAGGAAGAGGAAGCCAGGGCUGGGAUGGAGGGCCCACAAGAUCAAGAGAGGGAGGGAGCGAGCUGAGCGGGGAAGGAGCUCCAGCAGUCCUCCAGUCCCACAGACGUGUGCCUGGCAGCCCCUGUGGGCCAGGCCCCUGCAGGCAUUGGCGAUAUGGCAGGGAAGAAAAUGGCAAAACUCGCCCCAUGUGGGUCCAGGCCUAGUGGCAGGGCGCACACGACAGGACAGCAAACAUCUUAAAUGAAGGAUGCUAGAAGGUGUUCAUCGGUGAAAACCUUGAAGGAGAUGAGAGCGUGUACCGGGUGGAGGGAACAACCAGUGCAAAGGGCCUGAGGUAUGAGUGGACUGGUGUGUGGAAGGGAAUGCGCAGAGGACGGUGUGGCAGGAGCAGAGGGAGCAAGCAGGUGGGAGGGGGGCAGGGCGAGGCCAGGAGGGGCCACAUGGGUCUACUCUGAGUCAGAUGGGCACCCCGGGGAGGGCCGUGAGCAGGCAAACAGAACCCCAUUAGGAGGUGGCCCUGUUUACCAUCAGUUCAGCCUCUGCCCCUCCCCCGCCCCCCACCGCCCAGGACAGGGGAGACCCCAGUUGCAAGGCUGAUCCUUAGAUGAUCCUUAGAGGGCUUUGUUGGGUGGAGCCGCGUGGAAGGCCCUGGGGUGACCUGCGGCCUCCCUAGGCCCAUGGCCCUGGGGCCGACCCACCCAGCGGGCUGCAAGCGCUGAGGUCCCCAGGGAAGGCUGCCGGAGCCAGGAGGAGGCAGCCGGGGUCUGGAAGUGCCAGGCCUCAGAGGAAGUCCGCCAGGAAGGAAGAAGCCUGACUGCAAGAGGCCUGGCGCCACUCCUCCUCACAGAUGAAGAAGCCCCAGUUCCUGAUCCCAGUUCCUGUGUGGGGUCGCCUCCUGCCUUUCCUGGGGUUUGUUUUCUGUGUUCUUUUCCUGGGGAAAUAGCCCCAUCUCCUGGUCUUCUGUAGGCACCAGCACGGAAGCCCACUGGCUGCCUCUUUUUUUUUUUUUUUUCUUUAAUUUUGUUUAAAUCUUUCUCUAUUUUUGAGAGGGACAGAGAGCCACAGAGCGCAAGCAGGGGACGGACACAGAGAGAGGGAGGCACAGAAUCCCAAGCAGGCUCCUGGCUCCGAGCUGUCAGCACAGAGCCCAGAGCCCGAGGCGGGGCUCGAACUCACGAACCAAACCAUGAGAUCAUGACCUGAGCCCAAGUCGGAGGCUUAACCGACUGAGCCACCCGGGUGCCCCUCCCUUUUCAUUUUGAACACCGGCAAGCAAACAGACGAAAUCGAGAGGACAGUCUAAGGCAGCGCAGGUGCCCACCUCCCGGGGCUAGCGGCGGCCUCCAGCUUGCCUUGUUUGCUUGUUUCUCUCUUUCUCGGUUUCUCCCUCCCUUUGUCCUUCUAUCCUUCGCUCCCUGCUUUUCUCGCUCUCUCGCUCUCUCUUUCUCUCUCUCCUUUUCCCUUUCCUUUGUUUUUGCUGAAAUAGUUUACAGGAAGCGUGCAUACCAUUUUCUCCCUACGUGCUUCAAGAAGGAAGGACAUUUCCUCCCAUGACCCAGGGCCGUUAUCCAUCCAACCCACGCCCGGCGCAGGCUCCUGCUGUCGUCUGACAGCCGCUGCACAGCCACCCUCCAGGCCCCCACUGCCUUUGACUCCUCUUUCCUUCACGCCAGCAUCUCAUCAAGGACUUCGUUACACUUGACCAUUGGCCGUCUGGUUAUCUUGUCAUCUGAAGCAGCCUCUCUCCCCAGCCUCGUCUUUUCCCCCUGGCGCUGAGACACGCAGGAGACCGGGAACAGCCCACCUUCUAGACUGGGCCAGUUGCUCCCUUGUAGCUAGUGUCUUUAAGUGGUCCCUCUGUCCCCAGUAUCCUUUAUAAACCGGGUGUGGGGGCACAAGGCUGCACUAGAAUUGGGUUCAGCUUUGGCAAGAGCCUUGUGCCCUCCCUGGGGUGGCAUCGUCACAGGAGGCGUGUCCGACCUGUGUCCAGCAGCCCUUCACUUAGCUUUCUGUCUCGGGACCAGCGGUAAGCAGGGGAAGACAUCUUGACAUCGUGCGGCUAUCCAUGCCUCCUAGGCCUGUCACCCGGCGGUUUUCGCGUCCACUCCGCCUUAAGGGAUUCUUUCCAUCUGAUUAAUGUAAAUGUCUUCAUCAGACACAUGAGUUUAUUUCUUCUGGGCUAGUGUUUGUUGACAGCUCGUCACUGGUGAUAAGGGACCUUGCGGCAAUUUAAAUGCUCCGGGACCCCGUCCCCCCAUCCUCUCUCCUGUAGCAUGAAUAAGCUGGAGUCACCCACGCAGCAAAAGCAUCCUGGGCCCGCUCCCCACCAGCCACUGCCUGGCUCUUCCGCUUCCCCACUGGGGAAUUGCACAUUCUGGCCUCCAGCUGGGUGCGGAGCACAUCCUUGGAGCAAACUUUCUUUGGCCCCGCUGUUUCCUGGCACUGAGAGCCGAUGCGGAGGAGUCAGACGCUGUCUGCUCUGUCCCUGACAGACUCUUCCUGCCCUUGGUGUGGAGUGGUGUGUGUGUGUUGGGAGUUUUUCUGUAAGGACCCUGACCUGAGAGGAAAAGGGGUCAGCAGUGGAGCUUCCGGGGAUGGCUGGCAAGUCGGGGUGCAGGGGUCCUGCCCCCAUGGUAAGAAAGGAAUGAGAAAGAGGAAGCCAAGGCUCACCGGAGGUGGGCAGGACUCCCUGUCUGGCAGCCCACCGCCCAGGUGAGGGGAGAGGGCGGCAGCUCGGUCUGGGAAAGUGUUAUGGGUUGGACUGUGUCCCCCAAGAAACAUGUGUUCGAGUUUUGCCUGCCAGCAGCUGUGACUGGGACCUAACCUGGAUGAGGUGGUGCUGGACUAGGGCGGGCCUCAUCUCGCACUUGGCUUUUGGCAGUCCCCUUAGCUUGUUUGUACCUCCGCGAUGGCAGCCAUUCUCUUGAAGGCCGGACCCAAGGUGAGCGGGGCUCCCUGACCGUCUCCGUCCGCCCCCUCAUCAUGCCCCAGCCUCACAGCUCUGGCAACCCCGAGUCUCCCCUUAGCUGCUGAGUUCUCUGAGUCCCCACCCCCACCCCAUGUUUGGUUGCCGCCCGCCCAUCCUGCGACCCACGGGGCUGAAUUCCCCUGCAGCCCCGGGAAUUUCUCA